CCUCGGGCAGGUUGACUUUGAGGGCCAGCUCCUCCCGGCUGUACACGUCCGGGUAGUGCGACUUCUCAAAGGCUCGCUCCAGUUCGUGCAGCUGGAAGGUGGUGAAAGUGGUCCGGUUCCGACGGUGUUUCUUUUUGGGGUUGUCGUCGUCUGAUAGCUUGCCGUCCGGGUCCGGCGAGUCCGGACAGGUUGGCGCGUCACCCCCGCCGUCAUUACCGCAGCACACCCCUGGAAGUACGGCCGCAGUACGCGCCCGCUUUAUGGAAGAGGAGGUCCUCCUUGAAACCCAGGAUGGCGUCGAUGCUGUGCGCCUUGGGCGGGUUCCCGGCGGGUCCCUGGUGGAACACGGCGCGCGUGGAAGGGGACGGUCGCUGAUCCAUCAUCAUCAUCAUCCUCUUCCUCCUGUGGGAAGGCGGUCCAAUGAGCCACAUGUGAGGGCCAAGGUGCACGCAAUGUCAUGUUGGUCAGGGAGGGCUGCAAAAAAGAGAGGAAGAUUAUGCCUUCCACAGAUUAAGGUGGCGACAUGUCCAGGGUGUACCCCGCCUUCCGCCUGAAUGCAGCUGAGAUAGGCUCCAACGACCCCCCGCGACCCCAAAAGGGACAAGCGGUAGAAAAUGGAUGGAUGGAUGGUUGAAAAACAUUGCAAUAAACCUCGUUAUUCCUGUCUCUGCAUCCUGGUGUCACGCCUACUACCGCCAUACGAGUUCCUGACACUCACCUUGUGUAAUGGGAAAGGGAAAAGAGCCUUUGCCAAACUGUUCCAAAGCUGGAAAGAUUCAGGGUGUCGAGUUCGCCCAGUAAGUGUUCUUCCAUGUGGAACUCAUCCAAACUUAAUUCAUGCACCUCGCUUUGUGCACUUGGGAACAGAAAAGGGCUUCCCUGAACUGUUCCCAAAAAGCAUUUGGGAUUGUUUUGUACUCUUACGCAGUGACAUGAGGUUGACAGGUCACACAUUUAGCAAACAUAACGGCAACCAGCAGUCAAACUGACGCAUGUAGAGAGAUAGUGGGAGGGGCUUGUGUGAUCCUAUUAGAUGUUAAUCUUCUGUCUGCAAAUCCACAGCCGCUCAAACUUGGGCCCUUGCAAAACUCUUUUAACUGUCGGCCGUGUUGAGCAGCUCAGACCCCAGAUCCCCAGGCCUUAAUCACACCCCCGCCCCUUCAUUGCCAAGUGUUUGGAUAAUGCCCAAUUAAAUUAAGACCUGUUUCUUCCUUCCUUCCCCACCCAGUUGCCUGGAUUAAUCACACUUGUUUGAUAGUCUUUAAUGGCUCGCACCCGCGUGCGUGUGUUUAAAAAUCCAAUUGAGGAUUUGAAAUGCGAUCGUGUGCAGUGUUGAAUCCAGCUUUGAUGGAUUUAUGCAAAAAAACAACCAAAAAACAUGGCGUCCAUCCAUUGAGACACAAACUAGUACAUAAUACACAUUUUUAUUUUAACAAGUCUCACGCUUUUAUGUACAGUGCUUCUUGAUUUCACCUUGUGCAAUCCCUGCGAAUCAGCAUGUGAGGGUUGGAACAAGCGCCUGCUUUGCGUCGACAAACAGAAACCACCUCUAUAAACGUCCUAUAAUGAACUCCAACACAACAUACAUACAAAAGAAAUCUACUAGAACCACCAGAAGGGAAGUCGAGACUCAAAACACUCAAAAAAAAUAUAUGUGUACUGUAAUUAUUUCAUACUGUAAGAUCUUGACAUAUUGGACUGUAAACAACACCUUUUAAGGAGACUAAUUGUAUCAAUAUGUAUCAAUGAAAUAAUUUUCUGAACAUAAGGGAUG